rnacentral:rRNA from 1 species
AGAGUUUGAUCCUGGCUCAGGAUGAACGCUAGCGGGAGGCUUAACACAUGCAAGUCGAGGGGCAACACGAGGUAGCAAUACUUUGGUGGCGACCGGCGCACGGGUGAGUAACGCGUAUGCAACCUGCCCUUUACUGGAGGAUAACCCGGAGAAAUUCGGACUAAUACUGCAUAAAGAUAUUCUGAGGCAUCUUGGGAUAUUUAAAGCUACGGUGGUAAAGGAUGGGCAUGCGUAACAUUAGCUAGUUGGCAGGGUAACGGCCUACCAAGGCUACGAUGUUUAGGGGACCUGAGAGGGUGAUCCCCCACACUGGUACUGAGACACGGACCAGACUCCUACGGGAGGCAGCAGUGAGGAAUAUUGGUCAAUGGGCGCAAGCCUGAACCAGCCAUCCCGCGUGCAGGAAGACGGCGCUAUGCGUUGUAAACUGCUUUUCCAGGGGGUGAAUUGUCCCGACGUGUCGGGGCUUGACGGUACCCUGGGAAUAAGCAUCGGCUAACUCCGUGCCAGCAGCCGCGGUAAUACGGAGGAUGCAAGCGUUAUCCGGAUUUAUUGGGUUUAAAGGGUGCGUAGGCGGAUUGAUAAGUCAGUGGUGAAAACCUGCAGCUUAACUGUAGACUUGCCGUUGAUACUGUUAGUCUUGAGUAUGGUCAAGGCAGGCGGAAUGUGUAAUGUAGCGGUGAAAUGCUUAGAUAUUACACAGAACACCGAUUGCGAAGGCAGCUUGCUGGGCCAAUACUGACGCUGAUGCACGAAAGCGUGGGGAUCGAACAGGAUUAGAUACCCUGGUAGUC